UACGGAGGGUGCAAGCGUUGUCCGGAAUCACUGGGCGUAAAGGGCGCGUAGGCGGCUCAUGAAGGCUGUGGUGAAAGCCCGGGGCUCAACCCCGGAAUUGCCUUUGAGACUGCAUCGCUAGAAUUGUGGAGAGGUAAGUGGAAUUCCGAGUGUAGAGGUGAAAUUCGUAGAUAUUCGGAAGAACACCAGUGGCGAAGGCGACUUACUGGACACAUAUUGACGCUGAGGUGCGAAAGCGUGGGGAGCAAACAGG
rnacentral:rRNA from 1 species